GUGCGAAAACUUUACACUACACGAAAGUGUGAUAAGGGGAUCCAGAGUGCUAAUGCUUUGCAUUAGCUUUUGCCAAGGGUAAAUACCUUGGCGAAUAAGUGGUGGGCAAGACGGGUGCCAGCCGCCGCGGUAACACCCGCGCCACAAGUGGGAGCCUCGUUUAUUGGGUCUAAAGCGUCCGUAGCAGGUUUUGUAAAUCCUCUGUGAAAUCGUCUGGCUCAACCAAACGGCGUGCAGGGGACACUGCAGAACUUGGAACCGGGAGGAGUUAGGAGUAUUCUGGGGGGAGCGGUAAAAUGCUAUAAUCCUCAGAAGACUACCUGUGGCGAAGGCGCCUAACCAUAACGGAUUCGACUGUGAGGGACGAAAGCUAGGGGAGCGAUCCGG
rnacentral:rRNA from 1 species